rnacentral:rRNA from 1 species
UUGUGUGGUCAAGUUUUUAAGGGCGCACGGUGGAUGCCUUGGCAUUAGGAGCCGAAGAAGGACGUAGGAAUCUGCGAUAAGCCUGGGGGAGUUGAUAACCGAGCGGUGAUCCCAGGAUGUCCGAAUGGGGAAACCCCGCACAACGCUUUUGGGUGAUUGUGUGACCCGUGCCUGAAUUCAUAGGGUGCGUGGGGGGAACGCGGGGAAGUGAAACAUCUCAGUACCCGCAGGAAGAGAAAACAAGAGUGAUUCCGUUAGUAGUGGCGAGCGAACGCGGAUGAGGCUAAACCGUUCCAUGUGUGAUAGCCGGCGGGCGUUGCGUGGGCGGGGUUGUGGGACUUUCCGUGCUGGUUCUGCCGGACCGGUGGGGUGUGGGUGUGCGUAUAGGUGAACGGUCUUGAAAGGCCGGCCAGAGAGGGUGUGAGUCCCGUAACCGUAAUGUGUGGCACCGCCUUUGGAGAGGAUCCCAAGUAGCACGGGGCCCGAGAAAUCCCGUGUGAAUCUGUCAGGACCACCUGAUAAGCCUAAAUACUUCCUAAUGACCGAUAGCGGACCAGUACCGUGAGGGAAAGGUGAAAAGUACCCCGGGAGGGGAGUGAAACAGUACCUGAAACCGUGUGCUUACAAUCCGUCAGAGCAUCUGCAGCCCUUCGGGGUUGUAUGGGUGUGAUGGCGUGCCUUUUGAAGAAUGAGCCUGCGAGUUAGUGUUACGUCGCGAGGUUAACCCGUGUGGGGAAGCCGUAGCGAAAGCGAGUCUGAACAGGGCGAGUGUAGUGGCGUGAUCUAGACCCGAAGCGGAGUGAUCUACCCAUGGCCAGGUUGAAGCGACGGUAAGACGUCGUGGAGGACCGAACCCACUUCAGUUGAAAAUGGAGGGGAUGAGCUGUGGGUAGGGGUGAAAGGCCAAUCAAAC